GAGAGUCUUGCGAUGCGACUAGCCAUGCUAGUCUGUGUAGUAAUACAUGGCAGACGGAUCAUCAACGCGUCCCCUUCCAAAUCUCUGGACGGGAAUAACCUCGGGAAAAUGAUCUUUAUGACAGAUAGAACAGUAUGCCUGGAGUGGUUUGUGUUCCAAAUGAUUCAUCGGCGUUGGAUGAUACUGCCCCCUAUCAUUUUGUUGAUGAGGGAAUGACGCACCAAGAUGAUUAUAGGUACGGGCUCUUAUAAGAGUAGGAGGGAGGAGAGUACUGAUACACAGAAUCACGGCCUAUGGGGCGCAGCAGGCGAGAAAACUUCUGUAUGUGCGAAGAGACGACGAGGUUAAUACGAAUGUGCUCUGCUCAAGGAACCUUCUUGUCUUCCUAGAAAAGGCGAGGAAGGAAGAGUGAGUUUGUUAUGGUGUCGGCCGCCGCGGCGAAAACAGCGCCUCGAUUGGUCAGGAUGAUUAUUGGGGCUAAAUGAUCCGUAGUCGGCGCUGUAAGUUGUUGGUUAAAUCUGUCCGCUCUACGCACGGGCUGCGUCGAAUACUGAAAAUCUAGGUGGGGGGAGAAGUAUAAGGGACUCGGUAGGAAGGGGUAAAAUCCUUUGAUCUAUUGAUGACCACCUGUGGAGAAGGCGGUCCACCAAAACACGUUCGACGGGGAGGGAUGAAAGAUGGGGGAAGAAACCGGAAUAGAAACGCGGGGUAGUGCCAGCUGUAAACCAUGCCAACCCUCUGGAAGAAUUGGUUGUGGGAAUUGUAAUGUGGAAGGAAGGCGUUCAGUUUGCGCCUGGGAAUUCAUUCGCUAGUAUGAAAU
rnacentral:rRNA from 1 species